GUCUACGGCCAUACCACCCUGAACGUGCCCAAUGUCGUCUGAUCUCAUUAGGCAGGGUCGGGCCUGGUUAGUACUUGGAUGGGAGAAGGUUGCUAUGAAAAUCAAGUUGGUGAUGAUG
ensembl:rRNA 5S_rRNA 5S ribosomal RNA